rnacentral:lncRNA from 1 species
AAGUCUCCUCUGUGUUGUUAGUGUUUCAAUUUGAAUAAAGGAAUAUAUUAUGUCCAUACUAUACUUUUCAAACAAAAAAACUCAAUCUUUACAAUAUUUAUACAGUACGCAUGACUCAGGAUCUUUAAGACUCUAACUCUGUUCAAAUAUGAGUAUGGAGCCAAUUAAUUUUGAAAAAGGAGGGGGAACCUGAAAUAUUUUUGUUAAUCUAUUUCUCUUCUUCUAUUUAUAGAAAGGGAGUGUUGCCUCAUCGACUGAGUGCAAGUACAGAACAAACACACCAUGAUGGGAGUUAUAAAGGACACUGAAAACUGAGAUACCCCUUUAUCCUGCUUCCUUGCAGCCUCAUACUAAGAAAAAGUAUCUUUCAGAUUCCAAAGAGACAUUCAGGAAUAUUAGAGAUGGACUAGGCUGUGACUUUUUGAGUUUUGAAAUGCUGGAAUGCUGGAAGAGCACCCAAGUCCAUGAAUGCUGAGUCCAUGCCAGAGUUUACCAGCUGCAUCUGGUUUGUCAACAUAGCCCAUGAUCUAUUCCAGUAAUGAACUGACCCAACAUACAAAAUGCCAGGCCAUCCAUGUGAAGGAUCAACUUUGUUGGAUGUGUUGC